CAUGGGUUGGGCGCAUCUAAUUUGUGUUGCUAAACAACCAACCCAUCUAUAGAGCCUCUACAAGAUCUAACUUUGAGAAACGUGGACGUAUACAAAACCAGUCCUUGCAGUUCAGCGAUGGCGGCCAUGACAGUUCCAUCCGGGUACUCCGUUGCUGAUUGACUGAGGUUGGUGAGGCAUCUAAAGCGGAUGAAUAUGGAUUACCUGCUAGACUCGAUUCAAGAACUGUUCGAGCAUUUAGAAAAUCAUUUUUCUAUGCGACCGACUGAUUCAGAAUAGGCAAAUUCAUAUGAAGACAAUGUUCAAAGGCCCGUGUUCCACAUUCCAUCUGUUUCGCUAAAUUAUCAUGGUCGUGCUUCCCAUCCGAAACAGUUCCUGCAUAUAUUAUCACGACACUUUGUGACGUUUUGGUCUUCUGCAAUGUUUUUUUCCCGGCUGUUCCUGCCCUAGCACUAGAAUGAAUAGAACGAUUAUCCCCAUUCAAUUGAAUUAUGCAUAAUGGGUGGACUGGCGGCCAUUGCAAGCGUACCCAUAGUAGCAAAGCAGGAAGUGUACCCAUCAAUUUGGUCUGUGAUAUGUUUUAACAGCUCAACGGACAUAAAAUAAAAUACUUUCCAUUGCUGGAGCCACAUCAGUUAGCAUAAGUUCAAUUAACAUUCUCCAGUACCAUGUAAAUUAUUGCGUCACGAUACCAGGCAGCCAUUGCAAGAGUACCCAUGAUGUUCCAUGUCGUUUCUAUUCAUUAAAUUUCUAUGGUUUGUGCCACCAUUUUUCUUUCCAAGCAAGCGGAAGUUUGAGGGCUCCUUCAACCAAACGUUUGUUGUAUUUGAAGGAGAGACUCGUUUUCAUGAACAUGUUUUCACUUGAGAAAUACUGCACCAAACAUCUUGGUUAGUUGUAAAAUUGCGCGACUAAAACCUCCUAGACAAAAACAAUGAAUUCAGACUAUUUUGAGGAAGUGUAAACAGGCUACGGCGCAUCAAGAGGGACAAACAGUACUAUUGCCGACGUGCGCCUAUUUGUCGAUUGCAUGAACUUCACAAAAAUGUGAUCAGUUGAUUUUUUUUAUUGCAUUGCGCGAACAUUGUACAAAACAAUAUACAGAUAUCACAAAUAACAAAAAAUACAUAAAAUAAAUCCAGAGACACAAAAAAAGUUAUGCUUUUGACAAGUUACAUUUUUACAAAC
ensembl:lncRNA